rnacentral:rRNA from 1 species
UACGAAGGUGGCAAGCGUUACUCGGAAUUACUAGGCGUAAAGGGCAGGUAGGUGGUUCAGAAAGUCUGUUGUGUAAGCUCCCGGCUUAACUGGGAGAGGUCAACGGAUACUUCUGGACUUGAGUGUAGGAGAGGGUACUGGAAUUCCCGGUGUAGCGGUGAAAUGCGCAGAGAUCGGGAGGAACACCAAUGGCGAAAGCAGGUACCUGGACUAUUACUGACACUAAGCUGCGAAAGCUAGGGGAGCAAAC